GUUUUUAUAGUGUAGUGGUUAUCUCGUUAAGCCUCCCUGCCUUGAAAGGUCCCAGUUCGAAAACUGGGUGGAAACA
rnacentral:tRNA from 1 species